AACGAACGCUGGCGGCGUGGAUAAGACAUGCAAGUCGAACGGGAACUUUUUUGGUAGCAAUACCGAGAAAGUUCCAGUGGCGAACGGGUGCGUAACACGUGGGCAAUCUGCCGAGAAGUGGGGAUAGCUCGCCGAAAGGCGAAUUAAUACCGCAUGUGAUCAGAGGCGACAUCGCUUCGAAAUCAAAGCCGGGGUAACCUGGCGCUUCCUGAGGAGCCCGCGGCCUAUCAGCUAGUUGGUGAGGUAACGCUCACCAAGGCUUUGACGGGUAGCUGGUCUGAGAGGACGACCAGUCACACUGGAACUGAGACACGGUCCAGACACCUACGGGU
rnacentral:rRNA from 1 species